CGCAGCCGCGGUAAUUCCAGCUCCAAUAGCGUAUAUUAAAGUUGUUGCAGUUAAAAAGCUCGUAGUUGAAUUUCGGGAUUGACACAUCGGUCGUGCCUUAAGGGGUAUGAACUGGUGUAGUCAAUUUCUCACCUUCUGGAGAACCGCGAUGCCCUUAAUUGGGUGUCACGGGGAACCAGGACCUUUACUUUGAAAAAAUUAGAGUGUUUAAAGCAGGCAUUUUGCUUGAAUACAUUAGCAUGGAAUAAUAAAAUAGGACGGCAUGGUUCUAUUUUGUUGGUUUCUAGGAUCACCGUAAUGAUUAAUAGGGAUAGUUGGGGGCAUUAGUAUUCAAUUGUCAGUGGUGAAAUUCUUGGAUUUAUUGAAGACUAACUACUGCGAAAGCAUUUGCCAAGGAUGUUUUCAUUAAUCAAGAACGAAAGUCAGGGGAUCGAAGACGAUCAGAUACCGUCGUAGUCUUAACCAUAAACUAUGCCGACUAGGAAUCAGACGAUGUUAAUUUUUUAAUGACUCG
rnacentral:rRNA from 1 species